rnacentral:rRNA from 1 species
UACGUAGGUGGCGAGCGUUGUCCGGAUUUACUGGGCGUAAAGGGAGCGUAGGCGGACUUUUAAGUGAGAUGUGAAAUACCCGGGCUUAACUUGGGUGCUGCAUUUCAAACUGGAAGUCUAGAGUGCAGGAGAGGAGAAUGGAAUUCCUAGUGUAGCGGUGAAAUGCGUAGAUAUUAGGAGGAACACCAGUAGCGAAGGCGGCUCUCUGGACUGUAACUGACGCUGAGGCACGAAAGCGUGGGGAGCAAACAGGAUUAGAUACCCUGGUA